AUGCCGUCAAGCGGAAGAAGCCCUACGACGCCCCCGGGGCGCGCGGCGGCGGCUCCAAGGAGAAGCCGCAGCCUGUCACCGCCAUGGAAAAGCGGGUGGCAGCCGAGAAAUGUCCUUAACUCUCUGUGGCAGGAAAUUUUCCUGCCCGAGUCGAGGAAGCCCGAUUACAAGCUCGUGAAGGAAAUCACAGUACUAUGUCAAAAGGUGAGAUGCUGUAAUCUGAGCGGGAAGGAGAGAUCCAAGCUACUUACCGAGGCUCUCCGUAAAAUGGAUGGGAAAUAUUUGGAAAUUGCUGGAUCCCCUGUAGCCGCAUCUGUUCUUAAAUUAUGUGUGCAGUGGUGCUCACAGUCAGAGAUGGAUCCUGUUUUUGUUGCCCUGCAGCCACAUUUGCUCGAUCUUUCUCGCAAUAAAGACACUGGUUUCCUUGUGAAUUAUAUCAUAAAAGGGGCCAGUAAAGAACAGUUUGCCUUGUUCAUCUCUUCCCUUCAUGGUCAUGUCGCUUCUCUACUUCAUCACACAAUAGGAGCGUCAGUUGUUGACCGUGCCUUUCAUCAGGCGACGCGGCCCCAGAAAAGAAGUUUGUUGUUGGAAUUGUGCUCCACUGAGCUUCAGCUGUCCAAGGACCUGGCUCAAGAAAAACAAUGCAGGCUCAGUGUGUUAAAUAUAAUUUCCAAGCAUGGACUACAGAAAUCAUCUGUCCUGCAGCAUAUGACUACUAUUAUCCAGCCAGUACUGGAAAAGGGUAUUGUUGAGUAUUCCAUAGUACACAUGGUCAUAUCGGAGUACUUAACAAUUGCGGAUAAGACAUCAGCUUUGGAUGUGAUUCGUCAGUUAAUCCCCCAUCUUAUCCAAGGGUCAUCUGUCCUAGAUGAAGAUGUGAUUGGUCAAUUAAUCCCCCAUCUUACACCAACGAAAUCAAAAGCGCAGAAGAAAAGAUCAAAAGCGAAGAAGAAAAGAUCUUCAGAACUACUUCUCAUUCGGAUCAUGCAGACGAAGGAAGGAUUAAAAUUAGGGCUUGCUUGCCUCAAGCAUGGCCUUGAGAAGGAUAGGAAGAGGAUUAUCAAAAGCUUGAAGGGGCAUAUUAGGAAGCUUGCUCUCAAUGAUUAUGGAUGCCUUUUCGUUAUUUGUCGUCUCUCCAUUGUUGAUAACACAGAACUUAUUACUGAGGUUGUAGUUGAUGAGCUGACAAAGCACUUAAAGGAACUCAUAUUUGACAAGAACGGGAGACGCCCAUUGCUGCAGCUAUUUCACCCACUUUGCUCACGUUAUCUGACUCCGCGUGAAUUGUUUUAUCUGAAUUACAACGUGCCUUCCCCUGUUUCAAAGGUUAACUUGGAUGGUGAGUCGGAUGAUGUAGCUGACAAAGAACAUGGGGGUUCAGAAGACACAUUGGUUGUGUCUGAUAGCAACCCGAUUAAACGGCGGCAAGUACUGUUGGUGAAAAGCGAGCUUUAUGAGGUUCUCGUUGAGACUUGCAUUGAAAAUGUUGGAGAGUUACUUCGAGCAAACUUUGGCAAAGAUGUACUAUAUGAGGUGGAAAAAAAUAACUUCUUGGAGGGGGUCACUGACAGGAUCCACGUACUUCACAAUGCUAUAGCUUGUGACGCAGCGCGCCCGAGGACAGAUGAUGUUGAUGAGCACGCCUUUGAUAACUACCACUCCAGCCGCAUAAUCAGAAGAAUGGUACUUGAUUGUCCUGCAUUUGCUGCUACCCUCUGGAAAAAAGCCCUCGAAGGGAAAUGCAAGUUAUAUGCAGAUGGAUUCAGCUCUAUUAUGGUGGCUGCCUAUCUGGAAUCUCCAGAUUCCAGGGUGAAGGAUCUUGCGAAAGCUGAGUUGCAACCGCUCAUUGACGGUGGCAUACUGAAGCCCCAGGAACACAAAGCAGAGGAGGAGAAGUCUGCCAUGGAGUGUAGUUCUGACGAUUCAUCAGAGCUAAGUGAUACAGAUAUUGCCGACUAUGCUAAAAAAGCAUACACGGAUUUGAAGUCUGGCAAGCUUGUGGCGAGGUUUGGCACUGACAGGUUUAGAUGCCCAUUCUGCCCCGGGAAGAAGCAGGAAUACCGUUACAGUGAUCUGCUUAAUCAUGCCAUUGGCCUGAGUGCAUCCAACCAUGCUGCAAAGGUGAAGGCAAACCACCAGGCCCUGGCUAAUCAUCUCAAGACGGACCAUGCUGAUGCAGCAACCUCAUCCUCAAUGCCUGUACGACACAAACUGAGGCACUGA
rnacentral:rRNA from 1 species